CGUCGUCGGAGCCGUACGGUGGAGAAUGGAGGGAUAUCCGCACUUUAAGGGUGUGCGGACGUCCUCUUUAGAUCCUCUCCGUAUAUAUAUAUAUAUAUAUAUAGGCCGGAUGUGAAGCGGACGUCCGCACUCGACUUAAAGUGCGGACCUCCGUCUGUUCUCCACCCUCCGGCGCCGGCGACGGCGCGCCUCCACCAGCAGCGUUCCCGAUCAUUUUUCCUCCCCGGCAAGUCCGUUCUUUUCCAGUUUUCUGGCGAGAUCACCCA
rnacentral:lncRNA from 1 species